CCUACGGGGCGCAGCAGUGGGGAAUAUUGGACAAUGGGCGAAAGCCUGAUCCAGCCAUGCCGCGUGUGUGAAGAAGGCCUUCGGGUUGUAAAGCACUUUCAGUGGGGAAGAAAGCCUUGGGGCUAAUACCCUCGAGGAAGGACAUCACCCACAGAAGAAGCACCGGCUAACUCCGUGCCAGCAGCCGCGGUAAUACGGAGGGUGCGAGCGUUAAUCGGAAUUACUGGGCGUAAAGCGCGCGUAGGCGGUCUGAUAAGCCGGUUGGGAAAGCCCCGGGCUCAACCUGGGAACGGCAUCCGGAACUGUCAGGCUAGAGUGCAGGAGAGGAAGGUAGAAUUCCCGGUGUAGCGGUGAAAUGCGUAGAGAUCGGGAGGAAUACCAGUGGCGAAGGCGGCCUUCUGGACUGACACUGACGCUGAGGUGCGAAAGCGUGGGUAGCAAACAGGAUUAGAUACCCCAGUAGUC
rnacentral:rRNA from 1 species